UACGGGGGGGGCAAGCGUUGUUCGGAAUUACUGGGCGUAAAGGGCUCGUAGGCGGCCAACUAAGUCAUACGUGAAAUCCCUCGGCUUAACCGGGGAACUGCGUCUGAUACUGGAUGGCUUGAGUUCGGGAGAGGGAUGCGGAAUUCCAGGUGUAGCGGUGAAAUGUGUAGAUAUUCGGAAGAACACCAGUGGCGAAGGCGACUCACUGGACAUGUAUUGACGCUGAGGUGCGAAAGCGUGGGGAGCAAACAGG
rnacentral:rRNA from 1 species